GUAGUAAAAUCUGGUAUUGCAAAAGACCUAAACUCUUUCUACAGAGGUUCAAAUCCUCUCAUUAACU
rnacentral:tRNA from 1 species